ACGAGCCUAAGAGAGAAGAGAGACGGUCUGGGAUUGGCUGAGCUGGACCAUUGCCUCUUUUCUCAACCAAUAGGAGUCUUCGCUUCACCUGACCACCACCACCACCUUCACAACCUUCUCCCGCAGACGACCACAGCUAAGUCAAAAAGGUCAGGAUGGCAGGCGACGCUGGUGUUGGCUCCUCUGAGUUCAAGGGCUUGUCCAAGUUCUUCAACAGCUCUACCAUAGCAGGGAGAGCCAAUGUGGGCAAGGCAACGUAUGCCGUGCUUGGUCUCGUCAUCCUGUACAAUGUCAUGAAGCCCAAGAAGAAGUAACUCUUUAAGGUUGAUGUAAAUACAUAUUAUAUUAAAAUGUAGAUAAUAA